UUUUUUUUUUUUUUUUUUUUUUUGAAGCGCGUGUCAGUAAUUAUGUGCGUAAUUUUUUUCGUCACGUAGCAGAAGUAGGGUUGACACCUAAAGAGGGAGUUUGGACGGAGGGCGCAAAGAGGUCUCCACGUUGACGGACCAACUAGUCCAACUGGUACAUUAAGUAUGAAGGAAAUAAAUCAUCCAUGUUCGUGUUGUUUGUCCUUUUCUGCGUUUAUUUACUUGAUUAAAUUUCUAUUUGUCGUCGGCAGCGUAAACGAAGCUUUAAUUAUCCAUGUACUUAGCAUCCUAAUUAAUUGCAACAAAAUUCGACCUAGUUUUUUUUUUUUUUUUUUAAAUGCAACCUAGUUAAAUCUAUGGAGCUCUUGCAUCAGAUUCUUUGACUAAGUGUCAUGUUUUAUGUCCUCAUUUCACUUGAUCUGAAACUCAUGAUGAUUCGAUUGGUCAUUCCUCGAACCUUUCGGAUCGAAAGAAUACCUUUUCAAAAGUGCCUUCUUUUUUUUUCGUUUGUUUUAAAUAUAUAUAGUGUAAGUAAGUGAGACGGCUCGGACUCCCUCCCCUCAAACCAUCUCAUCCAUAUCCCUCCCAUCAUUUCUAGAACCAUGUGGCCAAUACGAAUUUUGCCUCCUGCAACAAAAGAAACAAUUAGUUUUGGAUUAACUGCAGUAUCAUUUUGCAUUGGAAGUUAUCAAUCACCAUUUUAUUUUAUAUACAUUAUAUCACAAAAAAAGUGUUACAAUAAUUAUUCCAAAUAAUAUUUCAUAUAAUACCCUAUCCAAACAAUUUUAAUAUUCCAAAUUUCAAUUAUUUCUACCGUAAACUGUAGCGCAUUGUACAAUGAUACUCAGAAAUUUAAAAAGUGGAAAAUUGAUGCCUGCAUCAAAACGGUAAAAUCAAGAAAAGAAAAUGUGAAGUGGAAAAUGUGAUUGAUAAUUGUAUAAAAAAAAUAUUCAUGGAAAUGCGAAUUUUGUUAAAUUAGCAAUCUAAACUUAGACAUGCACUCGAAGAAAUUGCUCGAUAUGCUAAUAACAACUGACGUUUUAUAUAUUUUGCUGGUUGAUGUCAUCCAAGCAAAUUGAAAUGAUAACUACUUCCAAAUUUUGUUUGCAAUAUGUUCUACACCAAAAAAAUCUAAUAAGAAAGCAGGUUCUUCACAUCUUGCUUUUCAUUUUUAUUAAUUCUUGAUAUUUGAAAUAUUCUUAGAUUAUAAUUUCCAUCAACAUAACGGUUUCAAGUCAUAUCCAUGUGGUCCUCCGUUUAGUCACACUAUCUACAUGAACAAUAUAACUAUUAAUUUAAGAUUGAACCUUUUGUGGUCCUAAAAAUUCAAUUUUUUAUGUAAAAAAGGAAAAAAAAAAACAAUAAAAAGAUAAUAGUGAAGCUAUUCGUGUUCUGUGUAACAAGUCCGAUCCUCAGUUACCCACAUCUAUUGCUGCGCUCUUUAGAAAAAAGAAGAAGCGUACGUGUUAAUUUCAUAUAUAGUGACGCUGCAUUGUAAAAUUUCUCUACAUGUUUAGAAUUCAUGUACGCAUGUCACUGAAUCGAGUUUCAACUGAAUUUAACUAAGAUAAUUUUUAUGGGUUUGAAUCCGAAUUUGGAUCUCACUAAAUUUAAUGAAUUUGAGUAUGAAACAAGAGAAUUCAAUACAAAUUCUAUCUAUUGACAUGCCUAGAUAAUAUAUUUCAUCUCCAAGAGAAAUAAAAGGUAAUUAAUGAUUUCCCUAUUUGAAUAAAAAGCCAAUUUUUGAUGCAGGGCUGGCUAUCCUACCCUUGUGGGCCCUUUAAAAAUAGCAAAAUUAGCAAAAGAAAAAACAAAUUACUUUGUCUCAUUGCACAAAUGCACCGUCAUUCAGUGCAUUCAUCCCUACCAAAAUCCGGUGGUCUAUUUCCCACGUGUACGCGGGUCAAUUCUGUCCACGUGUCAGAAGAUGUCGGAGAUUUGCUAGGACCUCCACGAUACAUUGGUCUUUUAUUGUCCACACUCCACACCAAGGUCAAAGCGGUAACCCUCUCUACACUUUUUUUUUAUCAGUAACGAUACAUGUGUAUAACCUACUCUAUCAUAAUCUAGGGGGGAGGGGAGCCUAAGGAGGCUGUUGUAGGGGCUAGUGGGUAUACAGACCCAACCACAUUAAGGGAGUGCUAUGGCACAACCCUUAGAUUUUUUUCACUGCUGGUGAGGGUUCUGGUGGCCACUGAGCCAUUGGCCAGUGGUUGGUAACCCUCUCUACACAUUGGAUUCUUUUUCCUAAAUUUGUACUCUUGUGCCAGUCACAGUGGUGCUUUCUUUUCACUUUUCCCUGCGCCAUUUUCUAUUUUGGCCAAUUGCAAUGUUUUUUUUUUUGGGUGGCGGAGGCCAACAAUCGCACGCGCACCAGGUAUGUCAAAACAAAACUUUGCUGCUUCUCUGCUGCUGCACGAUGUUCAUAUCAUAUACGAUUCCCAUUUGAGGCUGAAGACUCCGAGAAUUCUUGGAAGUAUUUUACUGCUCGGUUGUUUUCUAUAGCUAAAAUGAUGGAGUGCAUUUUCUUCUAUAUUAUAUUCUCUAGCACGAUAAUGAUGGAAAUACCUAACGAGAGAUAAUCUCUCCCCCGUAAGCUGGGCUUUGGUCUCUCCCAUGGCAGAUGUCUCUUUUGCUAGUUUUAUUUCCUUUUGUCUGAAUAAAUUCUUUCCUAAGGUUUUCCAGUCUAAGUUUCUUAUCCUCUAGAUCUUCUCUAGUAUUAGUUUUAUUUUUUUUUUCCUAGAAUCUCCUUGUGAGAGUAAUUUUUUUUUUUCAAUUGGUUACAUUAAAAAUCAAAUCAUUUGAUGGAAAACAUUCUUGGGAUUUCAAUUUUAUGAUCAAAUUUAUGAAUUUUUUUAGAUCCGUCGUAGCAUUUGAUUUGAGAUCCGUGUGAAUUUGUGUUAUACUUGAUAUAUUUGCUGCUAUUAGUGAAGAUACUAGAAUAAAAACGUACUUUCUUUUUUUUUUUUUUUAAAAAAAAUACAAGGUAACACCUGGUGGCAGGGGGUGCAGUAGAGUUAAACUCCAAGUCAAAAUAAUCAACCUGGCUCAGAUGCAAGAAGUUUCCAAAUCUGGGCAGUAUUUUUUCUUAAAGAUUUUUUUUUUUAAAAAAAAAAAGAGAAGAGCAUUUUUUUUCAAUCUGUGCUUUAUCUAACAUUCAGAAAGGACGAGACACAACAACAAAAUAAAAACGUUUGCACAAAUUCAGAUGCAAGAUUAUUUUAUAUUUUUUAUGCGAAACCACGUCUCUCUCCUAGGAGACAUGCAAAUCCUCCGUAGAAUAGCAAAACGACAACGCACUUUGUCCUCACAUACUCUCUCGGACAUAUGCACACGUUCAAUUUAAUGUAGCCGAUCGAUUCGACCAUAAACGGGGUCUUUUCAUGUAGUCAUCAUGAGGUCGUCAAUGGCUUUUAAAAUUCUUUUUCAUUAUGAAAUUUAUGAUUCGAAUCUUGGAUAUAAUAUAAUAGUUGGAAAAGAAAAGAGCGUAAAGAGAUUUUCAUUGACAUGAAAAGAACGCAAAAGAAAGAAAAAAAAAAAAGAGGAGAAAUUUCUACCAUGCGAGCAUACAUUUGCAUCCCCUUAAAGGAGGCCCCUCCUGGACAGCUCGUUUGGUCACGACAGUCCCUUGAAAUUCGUUGUCCAACUCUCCCAUCAGGGAUGGAAUCCCAGUGGUUACCGUGUUCGGGUUGAAGGGGCCUCUUCUCCCGGGCCGGAAUAGGAUUAAUCGGGCCCCGUAAGAAUUGAUCCGAACACCCACUCUGUUGAUAAAAAUAAAUAAAUAAAUGAAGGAGGCAAAAAAUUAAAGGAGGAAAAAGCAGCUGACUACCUCCAUCACUCACCCAAAUUGUGUUUGGAGCACAAAAAUUUGGUAGGAUGAGAGAAAUUGACAUCUACUCGUGUUAUAAGGCCACAAUUACGAUUUUUUUGGACGUCUUCAUAAAGUAUGGGACGGUUGGCUUGUAUAGGAAUGCCUAACCAUACCUCAUGAUCUAAUGAAAGAAAUGGUACCUUUGGCGGCUAGUGCCACCUGACCAAACGAGCAUUUUUGGCUGAUGAAUUUAGUUUAGAGCAAGCAAUUGCUUAGACCAUGCUCCACUAAUUAGUAGUAAUUACCCUAAUAUAUAUUUUUUGUCAUGGCCAUUGACCGAUAUGUUCACAUGCCAUUUUGUCUCUAGUUCGAAGCCACCUUCAAUUAUUCUCGGGGUUAAAGCCGUAAGAUGCUGCUAUUUCAAUAAAUUAAAGCAGCGUCAGUUAAGGAAGAACAUCUUGAGUGGGCAGUAGUUUAAAGAUCUCUAGUAGUACUAUUUUGUCAACGAAGAAGGGUUUCAGACGAUACUUCACGUCAACUGGUAAUUAUUGGCACAAAAUCUGAAUUUGGAGCUCUGGUGCUGGUGGCGGUGCUAAUUAAAACUUGGCUCAAUGAUUUUUGAAGACAACGAAAUGAAGUACUACAACCCCCCGCCUGCCCUGCCUUCAGGUGUUGUAGGUAACAAAAGAAAUCAAAUGGAUUGCAAUGGCUCAACCACAUUCGAUCACACAAGGCACCGGACAUCAGAGUAGUUUCAAAUGUACUCCUUUUGUUUAGUUAAAAAUGAUAAGAAUCAUAUCAGUUCUAAGAUUAGCACUCAUGCUUUACACAUCACACUAGACGAAGAAAUAUCAUAUUUCCUCAGUAUCAAGUACACUGACUGUAAAAUUAACUCGAUUCUUUGCUCACAAUUGUAUUGCUUUUGAAAUUAAUAUUAUCCAAUAUCGUUUCGAAAAAAAAAAAGAAAAGAUUGCAGUGACUCAAAUAAACAUAUUUUUAACCCCUCGAAAGAGAGCAACAGAUUUUUGUGGAGAUAGAGAAGUCCAUUUCGAUCGGAGGUAGAAUUUCCCGGUCGGACCCAAAGCUCAAUCUACAGAGCAGCAGUCGCUUAGAAACUCUUUUUUUUUUUUUUGAGUGAUCCUCUGCUGGCCUUUUUACAAAAGUCCUUCGGGCGCUGUAUUUGAGACCGUCUCCAUCUCUAAAGCCCAAAUCUUAUUGGACAAAGCCCCUUUCUUUAUAGUUUGAUUGAACUGGGCGGACCUGAAACCGUGCAAUUUAUCAUCGCAUAAGCACGUCUGCCUGGCCAACAACUCAUUCUCAUUUUAUCCCCUAAUCCUGCUACACUAUUCACUACAUUUAAAGUUGAUCAAAGCCUUUCACCACUCUCUUUUGAGUUAAGGCACCGAUCUCAACCUUGCUUUCCUCCCAAAUUCCCAGAGUUCUGAAAAAUAACCCAAGGCUACGGUUAACAGGAUAUUGAGUCUCGCAUUAAGUCACUGUAAAAGUCUGGACAGCCACUUGAAAAAGCCCAAGCAUUAUGGGCCUGCAUCAUUUCCCGGCAGUGACAUAGAUGGAGCUUCAUCAGUGGGCUUACUAAACCACCUUUCUGACCAAUUGCUAGAUUUUUUUUUUUUUUUUUGGGGAGUAGGGUGAACGAAAGGUUUGAAUUUAAAACCUCCUACCUACCAUCCUUCCUACCUUACUAUCCAACCCAGCCAUCUUCUUUUGCUAGAAGUCAUUGGAACAUUCAUACACUUAAAUCUUGUAGGGAAAAAGUAAGGUUUUUUUUUUGGGUUAUUAUCACUUUACUCCCUUAAACUAUAUCACUAUUACCAAUUUACCCCCUAAUAUAAUCACUUUACUCUCUAAUAUUGUGUUUGGAUAGAGUAUUAUUUGAAUGUUAUUUGAAAUAAUUACUGUAGUAUUUUUUUAUGAUGUGAUACAUGUGAGAUAAAAAGGUGAUUGAUAAUAUAAAAAAGUGAGUUGGGAAUGUGGUUGUGAUGCAAGUCAAAUAUUAUUUGGCAAAAUUGAUCUAUCCAAACAUAAAAAAGUAUUUUACCCUAUUGUUAAUCUAAAAAGUAUGUUAAAAAAUGUUUAAAUGUAUUAACCUUUUUUUAUAUAUAAUUAAAAAUAAAUAAGACGGAAUAAUUAUUUUUCCUUUUUUUUCACUCUAAGAUUUCAAAAACAUAAAAAUAAAAUGGGUUUUUCAAAUUUUUUCACACUUAUUAAUACCUGCAAAGAAAGAAAAUUAGGAAGAAUAUACUAUUAUCGUAUUACUUUAAUGUCCUCGGGAUUAGGAUUGGAAUUGGGUAAUAAACAGAAAAAUAAAAUAAUUUUAAAAUAAUAAAAAUAUUGAAUUCUUUCUUGUUUGUAUUAAAACAAAGAAUUGAACUCUCUCUCUUCCUCCCCUAUUUUUCUAUUUUUUCAAUAUCAAUAAGAUUGUCAAGAAGAAAGAGAUUAAUGUUUUGACUUUUUUUCUUGAUACUAAAAAGGAGAAGAUCCACUCUAAAUUUUUUAUUAUUUUUAUUAUACAAAAGAGAGGGUACUAUAUUCUCAAGAUUUUCAACUAGUCCAGUUGAUUUAUUGAUGGGAUAAAUUGUCUAAAAAAUAACUAUAGGGGGUAAAUUGAUAAUAAGGUUAUAGUUUAUGAGGGUAAAGUGAUAAUAAUUUUAAAAGUUAAACAUGUUUUAUCACUUGAAUUAAUAAACUCCGUUAAGUUUGAUCGUUAAUUUUGAGGGUAAAAUGACUACAAAUAAUUUUAUGGGGGAAAUUGAUAGUAAUGUCAAAUGUUAAGAGAGUAAAGUGAUAAUAACCCUUUUUUUUGGGCGAGGGAUUAGCACUUUAGCAAUGUAAGUUGGGCCUUUUGUUUGGCGGCAAGAGUCGGUGAAUGCUGAGGUUGACUCUUAAUUUUCCGAUAAUUGUAAUUCUUUGUAAGGGCUUCACAAGAUGCAUAACGGCCAUUCAUAUGGCGAUAAUAACUUCUACUUAGCCGGUGCUGUACCGAAUAUCUUUCCUCUAUAGCCGUUACGAUGCACAAACAACAUAGUACCAAGUACACAACAGCGGCCUUUGUUUUUGAACCAAAGUGCACGGUCCCUUUCUUCUACAUAGGGGUGGAGCUGAGUCAAGCUACUCGACUCGAGCUCGAUAUGUACUCGAUCAGAAGCUCGAGCUCGAACUCGCUUCAUCGAGCUCGAGCUCGAUCUCGAGCUGCUCGUUAGAGCUAUCGAGUCGAGCUCGAGCUCAGAAAUUUGAUACUCGAGAGCUCGACGAGCUUUAUCGAGUAUCACAUAAAAAAAAAUAAAAAAAUAAAUAUAAAAUUACUAAUAUAGGUAAAUAAAUUCUGAGAAAUUACGGGUAAGUACCCUUAUCGAGUCGAGCUCGAGCUUUUUAAGGACUCGAUCGAGCUCGAGCUCGAGCUGUGAUUCUCCGACUCGAUCGAGCUCGAGCUCGAGCUCGAGUAUAAUUAUAUUAUAGCCGAGUCGAGCUCGAGUAUAGCGGUACUCGAGCUCGACUCGGCUCGAAUACACCCCUACUUCUACAUCUCCUCAUGCUCCCAGAAAAUAAAUGUUGGUCAUUCUACGCGGACUUGAAAGCAUUGGUCAGCUUUAAAGCGGUCCAUUUGGGUCGAAUUUUAGAAUUUAGAACAAGCGGACCAAAAAAUUCUAGUCUAUUUUGGAACAAGAACAGUAACCUAUAUGUGUCUUGAGAAAAUUUUUGACCUGAUCAAGUCUGUUUAUCACCUUUUUGUAAAUGCUUUUUGUAAAUGCAAGGAAGGAAGGAAGGAAGGGAUGUUUGCAUUUUUUGAAACGCACACAGCACCAACCGGAGGGGCCACUCCGUGUUUCCCACUAUUGUUUUAUUUCGGUUCCUUCUCUGAGGGAAUGAGGGGUGGACCAAAGGCUAAGGCACUCGCCGCACAAUUAUUAGCAUUGGGGAAUGUUUCAGCUUUGUCUUACUUAUCCACUCUAACUAAGAUUUACAUGCGGGUUCCUCAGUACCCUUGCCUCCUUUUCUUAGUUUAGACAGAAGUUUAUUCAAAAAAAUAAAGAAGAAAAUUCUUUUAAGGGGUAGUAGUUGGAGUGGUUAUAACAGUUGACCAAUCAAUCCGCAAAUUAAUCAUAUUCUACUCCUCCUUUCUUUAUAAAUAUCAAAAAACUAACGAUAGCGCUGCAUAUGUAGUAAUAGUACAACCAAAUAUGUUUGUUGGACAAGGGGCACGGACGGUUGCACGCCCCAACGGUUUUGGCCAUGUUUAACAACGCCUAAUUUUGAUUGCAUACGGCGUAAUUUUGUUUAUACAACGUGUAACUUUAGUAUAAAAUUUUGUGGAUUCCACAUACGGUGUAAAAAUCGAUACACAACUUGUGAUCUGGAUCGCACAAUUUGUUGAUGCCAAAUCAUGGCCAUUAACAGCCGCUCCUGCCCCGUUUCCAUGUUGAGCUCAGCCUUGGAAGAGUAAUUGAUUGAUCGUUGCACCUGCCAAGCUCUGACACGGACACCUGUUGGUAAAUCUUUCGUCAUGAGAUGAAAUAAAACAACCAACACAUUGAAUGCGUGCUUAGAAUCCUCAAUCGGGAUAGAGAUUGAAAAAACUGACGGAUCCCAUAAUUAUUGUGACUACGUAUAUUUAUCUUAUGCUGCUACUGAUGCCAUAAAUUAGCUAAUCUCCAUCCUUUUUCUUGUCCUCUUUUCGUUGUAAAGCUCAUCAUUAAUUAGCAUUAUUGUACGUACGUACAUGGAGACAUCUAAGCUAGUAAACCAGCAAUAAUUCAGGUUCAGUGCAGGUGCAUACCAGCAAAGCACCUGGCUGUCCCUCUUGUCUGUUUGUUGCCCGAAUUCUAACGAUCAUUUUUCGACAUCAGAUAUACACCAAAACUCAUUGGCAGUUUGCCAUCCUUAUCCGUCUCAACGUAAAAUAGACCCCUAAACCAACCCCUCUUGACUCGCUACAUUCUUUAGUUACUGAUUUUUCCUUUAACCGGUCCCUUGUAUCUUUCGGCCUUCAUUCAUAUGCCACACAGAUUAGGAUGACGCCUGAAGCUACACGUAACUUCUUGUAAGUCUGAUUAAGAUUUUUCUGGGUACCACAAGCCAUGCUGGAUAGCAACUUAUAGCUUCUAACGCCAAGAGAGGCAGGGAAACAAAGAAAGACCCUCUCUCCCCCCCCCCCCAUUCAAGGACCACAUCAAUUUGUGUCCUUCUCUAACAGACUACCCUGUGAAAUUGCAAUUGCAGAAUUUAACAUCAGAUGAGACAUGUCAGUAGGCUAGCCAAAAACUGUCCAUGCACGCGUUCAAUAACCAUUGAUGAACAACAACUAGCUGAUAAUGAUUGAACAAGCACCAACUCGGCCGCACAUGCAACGGUCAAUCAACUUGAAAGAGAUUUUAGAAACAAAUAUCCACGUCCCAAUAAACUGGAACUGGAUUCGCCGCCAUACUCAUCACGGCACAGCCACCAGUUCAAGCUUUUGAAAGAAGGGCAACCAAAACCUUGAGAAAGUAAGAGAGUCAACAGAAGAAAAUGCGAACAUUAUUUCUUCCCUGCACACUACACUCUAUUAACACUUGACAUGAGACGAGAGACGAGUUGAAAUGGUACGCAAAAAGGAAAAAGAAACGAAAGUGGAGAAGAAUGCAAAGUAGAGACCUGUUUUACAAUUUUAGUCACAAACCUGUUCACUGGGGUGGGUAUAUAUCCCUGUCCUACAAUCAGAAAGGUCCAUCAAGAACUACAGACGACGAAAGCAGAAAAUACAACCAAACUCCAAGCAACCGUGCAUAAACAGAAAUGUCUUCCUUAGAAUACAUCACACAAACCUAUAUUAACUAGUUCU
rnacentral:lncRNA from 1 species